rnacentral:rRNA from 1 species
AACCCUGACGCAGCAACGCCGCGUGGGUGAUGAAGGUCUUCGGAUUGUAAAGCCCUGUUUUCUAGGACGAUAAUGACGGUACUAGAGGAGGAAGCCACGGCUAACUACGUGCCAGCAGCCGCGGUAAUACGUAGGUGGCGAGCGUUGUCCGGAUUUACUGGGCGUAAAGGGUGCGUAGGCGGAUGUUUAAGUGGGAUGUGAAAUCCCCGGGCUUAACCUGGGGGCUGCAUUCCAAACUGGAUAUCUAGAGUGCAGGAGAGGAAAGCGGAAUUCCUAGUGUAGCGGUGAAAUGCGUAGAGAUUAGGAAGAACACCAGUGGCGAAGGCGGCUUUCUGGACUGUAACUGACGCUGAGGCACGAAAGCGUGGGUAGCAAACAGGAUUAGAUACCCUGGUAGUCCACGCCGUAAACGAUGGAUACUAGGUGUAGGGGGUAUCAACUCCCCCUGUGCCGCAGUUAACACAAUAAGUAUCCCGCCUGGGGAGUACGGUCGCAAGAUUAAAACUCAAAGGAAUUGACGGGGGCCCGCACAAGCAGCGGAGCAUGUGGUUUAAUUCGAAGCAACGCGAAGAACCUUACCUGGACUUGACAUCCCUUGCAUAGCCUAGAGAUAGGUGAAGCCCUUCGGGGCAAGGAGACAGGUGGUGCAUGGUUGUC